AUUGAACGCUGGCGGCAGGCUUAACACAUGCAAGUCGAGCGCGUGGCGGACGGGUGAGUAAUGUUUGGGAAUCUCUCUUAUGGAGGGGUAUAACUACGGGAAACUGUAGCUAAUACCGCAUCCCCUAGGAUGUGCCCAGGUGGGAUUAGAUAGUUGGUGGGGUAAAGGCUCACCAAGGCGACGAUCCCUAGCUGGUCUGAGAGGAUGACCAGCCACACUGGAACUGAGACACGGUCCAGACUCCUACGGGAGGCAGCAGUGGGGAAUAUUGCACAAUGGGCGCAAGCCUGACGCAGCCAUGCCGCGUGUAUGAAGAAGGCCUUCGGGUUGUAAAGCACUUUCAGCGGGGAGGCGUUAACCGCAGAAGAAGCACCGGCUAACUCCGUGCCAGCAGCCGCGGUAAUUC
rnacentral:rRNA from 1 species